rnacentral:misc_RNA from 1 species
UUCAAUCGUUUCAUAUCAAGAAGGGGUAAACCUCAAAACAUGUAUUCCGAUAAUGGUACAACCUUCGUAGGAGCAUAGAAUAGAGAAGCUGAGACAGCAUUUUUGGAGCCGCUAUACACAUGAAUAUAUACAUCAACUUCAACAGAAACAGAAAUGGCACGCAUCUUCUGGGAAACUGGAAAUAGGAGACAUAGUCCUGAUCAGGGAUGCCAGUGCACCACCAUUACUUUGGUCUAUGGGGAAAGUAAUAAAGCUGAUGAAGGGCAGUGACGGAGUUUGCAGAGUUGCCGAAGUACAAACAAAGAGAGGCCCUAUAAUUCGAAGUUUUAACAAUCUCUGUCCUCUUCCAGUUAAACAAAUUUGAAGAUCAUAAUCUUCAAGGCCCGGGAGUAUGUUCGCGACAUCGCGCACCGACACAGCGCACAGGGCGGUGGCUUGCUGCGUGUACGGCUGGUGUUGCGGCCCCCGCGCGCCCCUCCCCUUCUAGCGGUCACUUCUACUCUUAGCCGCACC